UACCAGCACCCCGAGUGGUCGGGACGUUUAUUGGGCCUAAAGCAUCCGUAGCCGGUUCUACAAGUCCUCCGUUAAAUCCAGCCGCUCAACGGUUGGGCUGCGGAGGAUACUACGUGGCUAGGAGGCGGGAGAGGCAAGCGGUACUCAGUGGGUAGGGGUAAAAUCCUUUGAUCCAUUGAAGACCACCAGUGGCGAAGGCGGCUUGCCAGAACGCGCUCGACGGUGAGGGAUGAAAGCUGGGGAGCAACCGG
rnacentral:rRNA from 1 species